rnacentral:rRNA from 1 species
CCUACGGGAGGCAGCAGUGAGGAAUAUUGGUCAAUGGGCGGGAGCCUGAACCAGCCAAGUCGCGUGAGGGAAGACUGUCCUACGGAUUGUAAACCUCUUUUGCCGGGGAGCAAAGGGGUCCUUGCGAGGGCCCGAUGAUGGUACCCGGAGAAAAAGCAUCGGCUACCACCGUGCCAGCAGCCGCGGUAAUACGGGGGAGGCGAGCGUUACCCGGAUUCAUUGGGUUUAAGGGGUUCGUGGGCGGGCUGUUAAGUCAGUGGGAAACUGUCGGGGCCCACCCCCGGCUUGCCGUUGAAACUGGCGGCCUCGAGUGGGCGAGAAGUAGGCGGAAUGCGUGGUGUAGCGGUGAAAUGCAUAGAGAUCACGCAGAACUCCGAUUGCGAAGGCAGCAUACCGGCGCCCUACUGACGCUGAGGCACGAAAGCGUGGGUAUCGAACAGGAUUAGAUACCCGAGUAGUC